UACAGAGGUCUCAAGCGUUGUUCGGAUUCAUUGGGCGUAAAGGGUGCGUAGGCGGCGCGGUAAGUCGGGUGUGAAAUCUCGGAGCUUAACUCCGAAACUGCAUUCGAUACUACCGUGCUUGAGGACUGGAGAGGAGACUGGAAUUUACGGUGUAGCGGUGAAAUGCGUAGAUAUCAGGAGGAACACCGGUGGCGAAGGCGGCAUCCUGGACCAAUACUGACACUGAGGAGCGAAAGCCAGGGGAGCAAACGGG
rnacentral:rRNA from 1 species